rnacentral:rRNA from 1 species
UACGAAGGGUGCAAACGUUGCUCGGAAUUAUUGGGCGUAAAGCGCACGUAGGCGGCUUUGUAAGUCGGAUGUGAAAUCCCUCGGCUUAACCAAGGAAGUGCAUCCGAAACUACAGAGCUUGAGUACUUAAGAGGAUCGCGGAAUUCCCGGUGUAGAGGUGAAAUUCGUAGAUAUUCGCAAGAACACCAGUGGCGAAGGCGGCUCACUGGCCCGGUACUGACGCUGAGGCACGAAAGCGUGGGGAGCAAACAGG